ensembl:lncRNA
CCCCCCACCCACCUUAGCCUGGCCGUGUGAUUAGAUAUACAGAUGGAGAUUCAUGUGAACUGAGAGGUAAUAGUGGACACACAUAACGGUGAUGACUCACACCCACACACAGAAAAUAAAUGGAGAGAGGGACAACAACAAAAAAAGUCAUCUGAGCAGAGGCGUUUUCAGGAUUUCCACAUGUUGUAUGGGGAAUACAUUUUAGCAGAGUCAGGGAAAAAUAAUGAUUUUCUUUUCUUUUUUUUAAUACCACACAAAUGACCAAAAUGAAUGGCUACUCUGACAGUGACAAACAGAGCAAUAAAAACAACCUGGACAUGAACGCAAACAAUAGCCCGGGCCAAUGACGACACGUGCUAGGUAACGACGCAAACAAUAGCCCGGGCCAAUGACGACACGUGCUAGGUAACGACGCAAACAAUAGCCCGGGCCAAUGACGACACGUGCUAGGUAACGACGCAAACAAUAGCCCGGGCCAAUGACGACACGUG